UCUGCAUCAUAAAAUAUAUUUGUCAUAAUUAGUGGCAAAAAAAAAAACUUUUCAAUACAUUUCAAACGCAGCUUUGUAUAUUUGAAAAAGAAAACUACUUUAUGUAGUUUACACUUUAUUGACUUAUGUGUUAUUCUUCAUUCGACGUGACCAGUUUUGCUCUUAUUAACGGAAAACUUGAAUGUAUUUGGCACAGCUCCAAAAUGUGCCUUUCUUGAAGCCGCUUGAAAGGGGAGGGGGGUAUUUUUUUUUUUUCUUUGCAAAAGCUCUAUAGGGUGUAAGACGGAGGAAUAAAAGACAGAAAGAAAGAUGGCAGUAAUUGUAAUAUCCUGAGAUUUUUUUUUUUUUUUUUUUUUCGCUCAGCCAAAAAAUUCGUGCCAUUGAGCAAGUUUCACAGGGCUGCCGCUGACUCGCUGCAGGACACAUAAAAUCUGAUCAAGUUCAGAGACGCGCUGAGUGCUUCAAGCGGCGCUUUUUAACUCCAAGCCUUUCACAUCCCUUUCCACCCCCCCCCUCUCAAUCUGUCCCAGGAAAGGAGCUCACAUUCUUUAUUUUAGGGGAUCUGGACCCCAAAAAAAAAAAAAAAAAAUUCAAAUCAGUCCUUCAUUCUGCUUUCGCCCUCAUCCUACCGCAUUCACUCCAGAACAUUUCCUCGAGAAAGAGUUAUAGAUUGAAAAGCUCCUGGCUAUCUUCACCCUCUAUGGCUCCUUCAUGAUGGCCCCCUAAUCUCCGACAGUGUGGUUCCAUGAAUCUGUGGGUGCAUGAAUAAUGCUGAGGAGCCAAGAGGAAAAAAAAAUCCACUCCCUCCUUCCAUCUUAUUACCACUCAGUUGGACUCAGCCUGCACAGUGAGGCUGUGGAUCCAUUAGUGAGUCCCAGCACUGAUAAUGAAGCCACAGAGGUGGUCUGAGCCAGUGUGGCACAGGAGCUGGAGCACGAGAGGAAGGUAGAUUAGGAUAAUUACCUGGCCACGGGGGAACGAUGAGAAAGAUGUCUCACUUCCUGCAGGCCUCGAUUGGAGAAGGACCAAGUGCAAUAUAAUCAGGUGUCCUCCACAUCCCCAAUGUGAGUGUUUGUGUUUAUAUAUUUAUUUAUUGUUUAUGUAGCUGUGGUUUAGCUCUCUCACAUAUACUGUAAGACCUAAAUAUCCACACUCACAGAGACUUUGAAGAGCCUAUGAGGUCAGGUUUUAAAUUAUGGUCUGCACCCACACCGGGCUUUCACUCCCCACUCCUGUAAAUCCAUUUUCCACACAAUGCAUUUCAAAUCAAAGCAGCGUCACCAUAACAUGCCUUAGGAAACAUUAAGCCAUAGUGCAUCACUUUCAUGUAUGAUAGCAUAGCCCCUGUAUGCUUUGAUGUGCUCACUUUUUUUAAUGCUUUAUUAAUAAUAACACACUGGCUCCUUCUCACACCAACAUCAGCUCGUGGUGCUCCUUUCUCUCCUCCUGAACUACAUCCCUCACUCCUUCCAUGCCUCAGCUCCUUCUUCCCUCCCCAGCCCCUGAGCCUUGUCUUGGGAUUGGCCUAUUUGAGUUUGGAAGGAGGGGGGGGGGGUGGAUUAGAGGGAAUGACAUGGGCCUUGAGAUGAAGAGAGUGACAAAGACCUAUCAGAGGGCAGAGAGUACACAGCGCUGCAUCAUCAUUGGUUGCUGUGGAAAUCAGACACGUCUUCAUUUCUUCCAGCCAUCUUCUCCAAGUGCCCAGCUUUCAUUUCCACGCCCGGGGAGGGAAGCAGGGAGAGGAAGAGAGAGAGAGAGGGGUGGGGGUGGUGGUGGUUCAGGAUUAGAGUUUCUGUUUGCACGUUUAAGUGUGUGCACAUGUGUGUUUGCUUGCCAUGCUGUGUGCAGUAAACAUCGUAGAGAUACAGAGGGAUGAGCGCGUAGACACUGAUAGCUCUCACCUCCUCCAAAGCUGGCCAAAAUACAAAUGCUGGAGCAGAUUUUCUAGUGUUGUUCUAGCCGAACAGUGGCUAUGAAUGGGAUGCCUGAUUCAUAGACAUGUAAAACCUACUUAGGAUUCACUGAUUUCUCAUAUUAUUUCAGCUUUAUCUCUGGAUAUUUUUGUUUUAGUGUUGCAGAGAAGGUAUCCUAAAGCACACAAUGGCUGUAUUUCACUAUUUGCUAUUUUCUUUCUGACAGUUUCAAAGUGAUGUUGGCAAUUUACUAGAUCACUUAGCAGCUCCCCACAAUUCACAUGUGUGCGCACAGACAUCUGCUGAUUUGAUUUUCUGCUUUUGUGUUUUCUUUUUGUUUGUGUUCCUUUUUUGAUGUUUGUUUUGUCUUUCUGUUAUGUUGCAUUAUUGAAUGUCGACUUGUGUUGUAUUAUAAUUUCAUCCCACCACUUCUGCAGCAGUUCCUCCAGUCAUUUCAAUGCAAUCUGUGCUUGUUUUCUAGGAAAAAAUAAAUAUAUUUAAUAUACUAAAGUACCUCAUUUCUGUUAUGUUCAAACUGUGCUCUGUGCACCUACUAUUCCAAAAGCUCUUUGCUGACUUGCAUGUAUUUAAUUUGUCACACAUUAUAUACUAGCAUGUAUGCACGCUCAAACCAAUUAUUCAGUGUUAUGCAAUGUUUUAUACACAAUAUUGACAGCAGUCUGCAGUGGAAACCCUUCCUAAAGUUUUCAUAUGAAGAAUGUGCCUGUUGAGCUUGUUGUGCACCAGACUGUUGUCAGUAUUUGCCUGCUUGUUAGGAUGCAGCCAGUUGACUCUGGCUGUCUGAACAGCGAUAUGAUGGGAGCAGUGGGGCUGGGGCCCAGCCGACUUCUCUCUCCUCCUUGUCCAUAAUAGAUCUGCGUAGUCUGCAAGCCCUCUGGAGGCACCAAGCUCCGCUCAAUGCCAACCCUGGCCAGAUCGAUCGCAGAGGCCAUCCCAUCGCAGAGACCAGGGGUCAGCUUCAAAGGCUUCCUACCCACUUCCUGCCACCUGGUGUUCUAUUUCGGACAAUGGGUACAUUUCCUUUCAGUUCCCUCCACCCUCGUGCCCUUCUACGAACAGGUUAAGGACAUGGAGCCAGUACAGCUCCUUCCUGUGAUCUCCUCCCCACUCACCAACACAGGGAGAAAGGGUGAGAGAUCAGUCUCAUCCAAACUCCACCCAAUUGCACUCAUUUGAUGUCAAUAUCUGCUUUUGAUUUAAUGAUGGCCUAAGAAUGCAAAGCUCUCUACCCAAGUGAUGGGCUGAUUUUUGAUUAGGUUACAUUGUUCAUGGACCAAAUUUAAAUGUAUAUACUGUACCACAUCCACAUAAUUCUCAAUGCAGUCACUGACAAAAUAAUCACAUUAACACAGCAUUAUUAUUCAUAUAUGAGAUAUAUUUUAAUGGCAUUGUCAUAUAAUAUGAUACAAACGUUAGUUCAGGUAAUAGCUUGUUUAUAAUGGUGCAUUAAAUUAGAUGAACUUCUUGGCUCUCACUUGAAACAUGUUUCAUUAUUAACUGGACAACAGAUUUGAUAUGGUAUGAAUAUCUCCAUCUCUCUCUCCCUGUUAGUCAAGUAACAAAUGGCAGGGCUAUCGAACACACAUUUUAUCUCCAUGAGGGCUGUUGGACAAUUAGCUCCAAGAAUACAUAUUAAUCAAUCGAGAAUUUUGAAUUUGCUUAUUAAGCCCAGCCAUUUUUUUUUCCCCCCCCCUCCGAUACAUUAGCAGAUCUCAGUAUGUCCGCUACUCUUGUGAACAGGGAUGAGAAGGAGAUAGAGGGAGAGGAAAUAAAGGUCUGAUGAGUUUGGCAAAGAGAGGAUGGAGGCUGAGACAGAUGGCAUGAAGUCUGCAGCACUCUGGCGUGGCUCGCCUGGUGCUAAAAUCCUCCUCUCUCACAUUCCAACAAAUCCUACCAGGAGGCUCGGGAGUCUGUCACACCACUCCAAGGAUCCACAAGGCUCUCUU